CAAAUUCAGUUUCUGAUGGCGCAGAUUUCUGCCCAUACUCGCUGCCACCUUCAGAGGUCCCGUGUCCACGGCCCAUUGGCUCAGAGCUGGAUCGUGCUUCAUCUGUGACUGUUUGAAUAAUGUCGGAUUCACUGCCAACACAAAAAGCUGCUUCUUAAUGUUUCUAUCAAAUAUUUAACCUUAGAAUCAGAGGAUUAUUCUGCUGAACGUUUCUGGCAGCGGUUACCAGGCAUGUCUUUUAUUUGCUGAUGUUAAAGGUGUUAAAAAAUCUCAGCUUUCCCUCGUUCCUGCAGAAAGAAAUGUAUGCGCACAGCAGGGAGCCCUGAGUUAAUCCACCUGCUCGAAUCUGAAACUGCUCCUUCAUCUGCUACAGAAAUGAGUCGAUGCCAGGAGGGAAAUCAUUGACAUUCAAGUAGGUACUCAAAUUAAGAAAACAGCAGAGGAAACAAAGGAUACAGCAGGUGCUCAGAUUAUCUCCCAUCCCUCACAAAAUAAAGCAAUUUCAUUCUCACAUGUGUUUCUAUUAGUGAUGCACUGCAGAGUGAGAGCAGCGCCGACUGCAUCAGUGUCACGGUGAUCUCAGAGGGAAGGAGAGGACUAUCAGCAGCUUUCACAAACGCACAUCGAGCUUUGCCUCUGUGCUCGAAGCGGCUCGUGCUGAUCUCCGCUUCCUUAAAAUCUGAAGACUUUGCAGCUUCAGGACACAAAGCUUUGAGCUCCAACAACUUUAUGUCACCAGCUGUGGAGCUCAAAGUGUGAUUCAGUAAUGGGACGAAUUCUGCAGGAUUCUUUUCAUUUGUGUUAAUUGUGUUAUUUUGUUUUCAAAAUUCGACUGUAGUUCAUUAUGACCUAAAGUUAGCUUUCUGCUUACAUUAAAUAAAGCUGAAUCUGUGGGUUUUUGUGAUCUUUUUACUCUAUCAUUUCCUUUUUAUUUGUUGGGUUUUUACAGGAAGCCAUUAAACAUCCCCUGUUAGAUUUAGGCACUAAAAACUACUCAGGUUUAAGCAGUGGAAGCACUCGGGUUCAGGCAUCACACGGUGCCGCCGUGAACCUUCAAACGUAUGCGUGUUGCAGACGUGAAACUUCCAGCUCAACUAAAAAAUGAAAGAGUUCAUGAAAACAAACAGCCGUUAUCUUUCUCAUGCCGGUGGGAGGUUUUUCCACAUGAGAGCUGGAAUUUUUGAAAGAAAACCUCAAGCAGUCAGAGUCAUGGCUUUGCCUUCCAGCACGACAACAACCAGAAACACACGUUUGGUCAUCACGUUGGUCUCGUGGUGAAGAAUGACCUCCAGAAGACCAAAGUGAAGGUUACUGACGGGCUUCAGCCCCACCGAUGGUGAAAACACCAUCGAACCUGAGGAGCUUCACAGAUGCUCCUCAGAAGAAUGAGCCGGGAUUGGUCAGGAGACGUGUGUGAGGCUGCAAGCGCUGCAGCUCUUAGCACAAAGGACGACCAUUUGAGCCUAGUAGCUUUUGGGUUUUGUUGCAAAGUGAAAUUAUAAACGCAUCCAAAAUAAAACUGGGAUGUUUGGAAAUUUGUCUGGGGAAACAGUUUGUGGAAGGUGCAUUCAUCACUGUGUCCUCAUGUGUAACACAGGCUGAGAGCUGAGCUGAAAAAAUGCAGUUUGUUCUUUUGUGUUAAUAUUUUGAAUUUGCUGAAAUCCAUUUCUGGUUCUUUGAAGCUAACUUUGGUGUGACUAAUGAAAAGCUUUUUGUGAAAUACAAACACUUUGGUGUUGUUUAUUUAAUGAGAACGAAGAGUUUAUUCUCACCGUGAAAUAUAAAGCCAGCAGCCUGCUUCAAACAAACGGUCUCUGGACAGAUAAACAAGGUAAAGGCAGGAGAUGAAGCGACUGUGCCAUAAUUCAGAUCAAGCUGUCACAGCAGAGUCCAAUUUAAGUGUCACAAACAACAAGAGGGAGACAAAUGGAGGCUGUAAAGAGACGACGGGCUGCAGUCAGAGCAGGUUCAGCUCCCCACACUGACUGUAACUGUGACUGGACCUGUGCAUGCACACUGAGACAGCGGCUGCAUGCAGCACACACCAACAUGCAGGGAGGAGAAAUGUCUUUAAUAUAUGCUGUGUUUGUGCAGGUUAGCAAUGCUGAACAGCCUCAGCAGUGUGCGCACGGCGACAGCAAACACCGAGGGACAAACACGUCUCCAUCAUAUUUGUGUCUGUAAAGAUGAUGCUGGGAGACGCCACGCAGAGGUUCUCUGAGACAGCCAGAAAUAACCUUUCAUUUCUCUCCUCACUCAAAAUAACUCUUUAGAUCCACUUUUUAUAAACACCUAAAACUUCAUAGAUAUUUUUUUGUUGAUGGCUGAAGGCAUCAAACACCGACCCGUCACUUCCUGGACUCCACAGCCUACUGUGGUUUGCAAAUCCCACUUUUUAAAGCCUCAAAGAGGGUGGAGUGUUAUUCCCAGUAACAUGCAAUUAAAAUACUGGAAUUCCACUCAGCACACCUGGAGCUCAGGCUUCCUGAACUGUUAGUACAGUAACCUCACAGCUGCCAUAUUACGGGUCAAAAAAUGUCAUUAUUAUAAUUUGAAGGCUCCAACAGCACAAACACAGUCUGGAGGUCCAGCUCAGGUAAAGCUAGCAGACAGCUAGCAGCUGCAGCCACCUGUGUCAGCUACAGUGGCCACGCCCCUAAUAAUGCAAACAUUAAGCCUUAAUAUAGACAGGCUAUAAAGUGUUGGAGCCUCUAGAUAUUAUAUGGACAUUAGAGGAACUGCAGAUUUUGGUUCUUCAGCCCGUAAUGCUGAUGGUUGUUGAUGUUUCAGUAAAAUCAGCACCAAAAACCUUCUGCUGGGACGUACGCACCCUAAUCCAGAGUAAGAGUUUACUGCUGGGACUGGCUGCAGCAGCAAAUUCAGCCCACGAACAGAACGAUCCAAAAAGACGUCUGCAGUAACUCCACAAUAUCCUCACGGAUCUGCUGUUGGUCCAUCUGCAUUCUGAAAAAGGUGGUGCAGAUUUAAGCUGAUUAGCAGCAUGAAGCAGCUGUCAGAUCUUUAGGAACACCCCACUCUGGAUACAUGGAUGAAAGGUGGAGCUGUUGGAUGGAGUUGUUUGGCCACACUAAGCACAGUAGUUAUCAGGAAGAGAACCUCAGACCAUCUGUGAAGCCCAGUGGUGGAAAUGUUCUGGGUGGGUUUGUUUCACUGCCUCAGGGAUGAGUAGACACCUUCAGAUAAGUGGAAGUAGGUCUUUCAGCUACAGAUGAUUUUCAAAUGAUCAAUCAUCGAGUUAUAAUAAACAUUUCUGAUUUUUUCCAUCUUCUGCCACAAGCUGAACGCGGAUAAGUUUGCUCCAUCUCCGUGGGCUCGUGUUGAGGGUGGGAACGUAAUGGAGAGCGUUCCUUUCACCUUCAGCUCUCUCUUCAUGACGUCUCAAGCCGAGAGUUUGAAAUCACCAUCUUGGUGUAAGAUGUGUGAAAUCAAGAGUACCAUAUGCUCGUAGUGAUUGUGAUUGAAACACUGACCCGUUAGACAGUGAGCUGGAUGAUCCUCCUCUCACACUCUGAGAAUGACCAUAAUUUACAAAAUGCAUUCAAUGUUUUAUUGAGUAAGACUUCAGACUUGUGACCGAGCCCAUAAACCCAUCAGGAGAGUGUUUACUGAGGUCACAGAGGAAGUCAUGUGACUUCUACACAACCAGGAACCUUUUUGCAGCCGACGGAGUCGCCUCCUAUUCUUUUGUAAUAUCUGUGAACAUUCAAAGUGAGCUGUGAGAUGCUCCUCCGAGCACGCAUGUCCGCCCGGAUGAAUGUCUGUGGUGCUCAAAUAACUCCACCAAGGAACGGCUCAAAAAGAGGAAAUGGUGUGAAAGCCAGGAAUGAAUCCUACGUGGUGUGAUGGAGAAAAACCUUCAAACAUUUUGCAGCUGAAGGAAUUUUAAAAAGAAGACUGGUCAAAGAUUUCAACGAGCCGAUGUCAGACACUGCUGGACAAUUAUGCAAAACGCCUACAAGGAGGCUGGGUGGAUGUGACUAUUUGCUGGAUAUAGCACGCGGCAUGCCCAUCACACACCUGCUCUUCACACCAAACACGGGUCUCCGGCAGCAGCCCGAGGCUCGACUGCCUCGUAUCUCACCUCCUCCUGACUCCUAACACCUGCUGCGUGUUACCGGGUCAACGACGAGCUGAGCUGCACGCAGACGCAUCGUUUUCCUGCAGCUUCCUCAGAUCCAUAAUCAGAGAUUACUCUCGCUCCUCAGCAGCAGCAUCCAGACGAAUAAACGUGUGGUCGCAGAAGAGUGGAGCCUAUGGACAGGUCGCCAGUCUGUCGCUAACACAUGGACAACCAUUCACACAGUUGACCUAUCCCCACUACCUGCAUGUGUUUGGAUUGUGGGAGGAAGCCGGAAUACCCGGACAGAACCCACAUACAAACUUCACACAGAAAGACCCCGCCCAGAUGGUGGAAUUGAACUCAGGACCUUCUUGCGAGUAAUUUUCGUGGUCAAAUGUGGCGCCAUCAGCCCUCCAUCACCAGACCCGAGGAGUGCAGAUCGCCGCUGCAGGCUCGAGUGGAUGCUGAGUCACCGCACAGGUAGAGGUAAACAGUGUCAGAGGUAUUACACGAUGAUUCACUUUAACAUUUACAUGUGAAUAUGAUAUAAAAACACAUUUUAAUGGACUUCCAGUCUUUUCAGCUGCAGCACUCGUAUGACUGAUGCCUUGAAGUGCUGAUUAUGAGAAAUGCUAAAGGGAAAGGGACGUUAAGGGAAAGUGUUUUAAUUAAAGGCCAUGAUGAAGCAGAAAAGUUCUCUCAGAGUUUCUUCCAGAAAUGUGGAGCAUAAAGCAGCGAGUGUUGCCUCUGCUCAAACACUCUGGGGACGCUCAACAACACCAAUAAAUAUGCAACUCCAAACCAGCUCCACCCUCAGGAGAGCCGACUCGAUUUAGAAAAAAUACACAACAGGCAAAAUAAAAGUACGUAAGUCACUGCUUCUACCGCCAGUGUCAUCCUCCACGAUCAGGCUGAAUACAGUCGCUCGUUUUUCUGCUUUAUUUACUCCGCAAAGACUCAAAUUCAAAAUAUUACAUUUGUAUUUCCUUCUAUUACUGGCUUAUAUGGAAGGCCAUGCAUAAAAUUAUUAAAAUAGAUUAAUUAAUAAAUCAAUAUGUCAUGAAAUGCAUUAUUAUUGCUUUGAUUGUAUUUGUUAUUACACAAUAUUUCCCCUAUUUAUGUACUCUGUGUGUAAUCCAUUACUUUGUUUAUGAUGAUAUCCAUGUCAACCAGCAGCCCUCUCUCUCUGUCAGCCACCUCAUUCAUUUCCUGUUUUACUUUGAUGGCUGGUCGUCUCAUGUCUUGUUUUUGAGUUUCACUUCCUCCUCCUCGUCUUGAUUGUGUUCAGCUGUUUCUCGUUGCCCUCCUGUGUUCAGUCCCUGUCUUUGCCUGCCUGUGCUGGUUCUGGUCACCGUGUUACUCCGUGUGCCCUCGUGUCUCUGUAGCUGCCCUGUUGGAUCUUACAGCCGGGUCUUUGGCAUUAAAAGUUUGAUAUUUGUUCCUGAGCUCUGCCUCCUUCGUUCUGUGGCUCGGGUUUGGAAACUCUCUCUGUAGUUUUUGACAGAUGUUGCUUCAGUCUGUCUGUAAAUCUCCCACUGCCUUCCUUUCUGACUCUUGAAGCCUGACUCUGACUUCUGCAUUUGUUGCAGCAACAUGGAGUCAGCACUCCACCCUUUUCUGACUGUGAGCUGUGGCCUCAGACGUGGAUGCUGAUUCUCAUCCCGUCUGCAAACUGCAUCAGAUUGUGAGGGUGGAUAAUCCCUG